CCUACGGGAUGCAGCAGUGAGGAAUAUUGGUCAAUGGACGAGAGUCUGAACCAGCCAAGUAGCGUGAAGGAUGACUGCCCUAUGGGUUGUAAACUUCUUUUAUAUGGGAAUAAAAUGUUCCACGUGUGGGAUUUUGUAUGUCCCAUAUGAAUAAGGAUCGGCUAACUCCGUGCCAGCAGCCGCGGUAAUACGGAGGAUCCGAGCGUUAUCCGGAUUUAUUGGGUUUAAAGGGAGCGUAGGUGGAUUGUUAAGUCAGUUGUGAAAGUUUGCGGCUCAACCGUAAAAUUGCAGUUGACACUGGCAGUCGUGAGUACAGUAGAGGUGGGCGGAAGUCGUGGUGUAGCGGUGAAAUGCUUAGAUAUCACGAAGAACUCCGAUUGCGAAGGCAGCUCACUGGACUGCAACUGACACUGAGGCUCGAAAGUGUGGGUAUCAAACAGGAUUAGAGACCCCUGUAGUC
rnacentral:rRNA from 1 species